rnacentral:rRNA from 1 species
CGUAAUAGCUCACUGGUCGAGAGGUCCUGCGCCGAAAAUGUCCGGGGCUGAAACAUGACACCGAAGCUGAGGAACCGAAAGGUUGGUAGAGGAGCAUUCGUAAAGGGAAGAAGCUGUACCGGAAGGAGCAGUGGACGUUUACGAAGAGAGAAUGCCGGAAUGAGUAGCGAGAUGGAGGUGGGAAUCCUCCAGGCCGAAUAUCCAAGGUUUCCAGGGUAAAGCUGAUCUGCCCUGGGUAAGUCGGGGCCUAAGGCGAGGUCGAAGGACGUAGCCGAUGGACAACAGGUUGAAAUUCCUGUACUGCAUGAUGACAGAACUGUGGGGACACGGGCAGAAAGCCUGGGCCGGAAAUGGAAAAGCCGGUGCAAGCGGAGGAGCCGUGUAGGAGGAAAAACCCCUAUGCAAGGCAGAGCCGUGACGCGGAGCGAAAUAAAAGUAGCGAAGCAGGCGGGCUGGCCGUCAAGAAAAGCCGCUAUUGUUCAUCAUGUACCCGUACCGCAAACCGACACAGGUGGAUGAGGAGAGAAUCCUAAGGCCGGCGGAAGAAGUAUUGUUAAGGAACUCGGCAAAAUGACCCCGUAACUUCGGGAGAAGGGGUGCCAGGGAAACCUGGCCGCAGAGAACUGGUCCAAGCAACUGUUUAACAAAAACACAGGUUUAUGCAAAACCGCAAGGUGAAGUAUAUGAGCUGACGCCUGCCCGGUGCUGGAAGGUUAAGAGGAGAGGGUAGCGCAAGCGAAGCUUUGAAUCCAAGCCCCAGUAAACGGCGGCCGUAACUAUAACGGUCCUAAGGUAGCGAAAUUCCUUGUCGGGUAAGUUCCGACCCGCACGAAAGGCGUAAUGAUUUGGACGCUGUCUCGACAAUACAUCCGGUGAAAUUGAAGUACCAGUGAAGAUGCUGGUUACCCGCGCCAGGACGGAAAGACCCCAUGGAGCUUUACUCCAGUCUGAUACUGGGAUUCGGUGCUGCAUGUACAGGAUAGGUGGGAGGCUGAGAAUUAAGGACGCCAGUCUUUAAGGAGCCGGUGUUGGGAUACCACCCCUGCAGUAUUGGAUUUCUAACCUGCGGCCGUAAUCCGGCCGGGGGACAAUGUCAGACGGGGAGUUUGACUGGGGCGGUCGCCUCCGAAAGGG